GCAUUAUCGCGUCGCUCAGUCUGCCAAGCACAAGCACAGUGUAGUGUUUAUUUAGCGAGCGGACGCUUGCUUCGUCUCAUCGAACGUGUUUACGAAGUGGGUGAUAGUGUAGUGAUAACGUGCUUGCCGGUUGUUGGUAUACAAGAACACUUUAUCAAAUAUAGUUGUUUGUGCAUAGAGGUGCACACAGCCUCGGUCCAACAUGGCUGAAGUGAAUGAUGCUGCUACUGCGGAGAAACACGUGGA